GACCACCUCAACGCCACAGUAUAAAUUCACAAUGGAGACUGAAGAUGAAGAAAACGAUGACAAUAAGAACAGUUAAAAAAACAGCCAUCAUGCCAACAAGCUUAAAGCUAGUAAUAAUAUUUUGUUACUACAUUAUACAUCUCUCGAAAGCGGGUUGUCCACGAUUAUGCGAGUGCAAAUGGAAAAGUGGAAAGGAGUCCGUAUUAUGCUGGAACGCAAAUCUUUCAUACGUUCCCCUACAACUAGAAGCCGGUACACAGAUCUUGGAUCUUACAGGAAACAAUCUGACGAGUAUCAAACAUGAAGAGUUCAAUAAAGCAGGUCUUGUCAAUUUACAAAAAAUAUUUUUGGCAAAAUGUCGAUUGAAAACUUUAGAAAGAUACGCGUUCAAACAUUUGAUUAAUUUGGUAGAACUUGAUUUGAGUUACAACUUAUUAACCAAUGUUCCUUCACACACAUUUGAUUCGAUUACUGAAUUGAGAGAAUUGAAAAUUAAUGGAAACCCGAUACAAAAGAUAUUUAAUGAUGCAUUUUUACAUAUUCCUCAAUUGAUAAGGUUAGAAAUAUCUGAAUGUAAACUUAGUUUAAUAGAACCAAGAGCCUUCGCAGGUCUAGGAAAGUCAUUGGAAUGGUUAAAAUUAGAUAACAAUAAAUUAGUAGAUGUGACGUCUGAAUCUUUCACAAGUUUACAAAGUCUUCAUGGUCUUGAGCUAGAAGGGAACCCAUGGAACUGUACAUGCACUCUAAGGCCCCUUAGAGUUUGGAUGAUGCGACAAAAUGUUCCUUUUGGCGUUCCACCGGUUUGUCAUAGUCCUAAGCGUUUGUAUAUGAAAUCUUGGGACAAACUGGAUUUGGAUGAAUACGCAUGUGUACCAGAAAUAUUUGCAUACAGCAGCAGUGCUCAUGGAGUGGAAGGCAAAAAUAUUACAAUGACAUGUAGUAUAGCUGGUAUUCCUGAGCCGAACGUUCGUUGGUUAAUGAAGAACAAGGUAAUAGCGAACUUAUCUGGGACUGCUAAUACAGGUGGUAAAAAACUCUACAUCGUCCAACUGAAUAACAGUUCGAGCGAGUUGACCAUCUUCAGUGCAGAUCUUCAAGAUGCAGGGACUUAUAUUUGCCUAGCGGAGAAUAAAGCGGGUAAAGCCGAAGCCAGCGUUACAUUAGCAGUAUCAAAGAAACCUCCAGAGACAGGUCUCUCCCAUAAACUCCUAAUAGCUAGUGUUGUAACUGGCAUUGUAUUCGUAUUCAUUUCGUGUGCUAUAUCUGUGUGUAUAUAUACUAUAAAGAAGAAACAAACCGUUAAAUGGAGGACUCGUGAGUGUCGACGUGAAGACAAUUAUGAGAAGAUAGAGAUGAAUCACAAGGGAAUCAAGGUUAAUGGUGGUGUUAAUGUAAAUGAAGAGAUAGCUGUGGUUACUGAUCGCCGUAACGGUGAGUAUCGAGUAAUUCCUGGUGGUGACACUGAUCAAGAAGUGGAAGAUGAAGAAGAUACUAACGUUGACGGACCAAUUGGUGGUAUUAAAAAAAUCAGUCCGUUGAUAGUUAAAGAAGGUAGUAGUGUGGAGCAAGGUUGGAAUUCACCGGAAGAUUUGUUGGAUCCGGAUGAUUUGCAUAUACCGAGGAGGACUAUUCAGGAGACUAGAGACAAUAUCAACAAAAACUGCACUUCGACAUGUGGUACAUAUAAUCAGUAUCCGACACCUACUUCAACACCAACCAGCUUCCCAAUCUACUCAACACCAUCAUCGACGAUAAGAAGAUACUUUUCACCGACUGCAUCUUCCGUUUAUUCCACAAAAGAACUGUCUCGGGUAACAGAAGGUGCGGAAAAACAUUUUCCAGACUUAAUAGAAAGUUCGCCAAAAAGUAAAUCGUUUGAAAUGAAACAGUAUAGUGCAUCUAGAGCUGCAAGUGAUAGUGGAAGUGCGUCGGAUAUAAACGAAAUAUUUUGUACGUUACCGAGGAAAAAAGAAUUAUUACAAUCCACGAGGUACAGAAGUAAUGAUAGUCAAGCGCCCUUGUUGACAGAUAGUAGAUAUGGUAGUAGCGGUGGAGAAAGCAUUCACGGCGGUCAAGACAGACUAAUGUCUGAUACUCCCAAGUACCCCUUCGCUAGCUUGAAUAGAAACAGGGUAAAUAAAAUAUCAAAUAGUUAUUUGAAUUUGACUCGAGAAGAAGGUCAUCAAAACAAAGAGUUAACGACUGAUAUGAGCGCCACCCCUCUUCUGGAUGUUUCUAACCUAGAAAAUCGCAUUUGGUUUAACAAAACAAGGGAAAGAAUAUCCCCUACAUCUAGCACUACUCCAAACGCCAAUUCGUAUGAUUAUCAUGCUGCCCAGCUGGAGAGGUUCCUUGAAGAGUAUAGAAGUCUACAGAAACAGUUGACCAAGAUGAAAGAAACAUGCGAUAACUUGUGUAUGGAAAAGGAAAGAGAAAAACAACUUCCCCCUCCAUUUGCACCAUCUACGUCUUUCUUCAACAAACCCACAACUUUAGCACUCUCUCCAAAUUCCAACCAAUCGAUUGGAAACUCCGUCGACUUCAAAAACUUCGAAAAUGAUUUAAAGAAGUAUCUCAUUUCUAAGAAUUUAUCUCCCAGUAACUUCAAUAGCAGUAACUUUGAAUCGUAAGCGAAUAUUUCAUAGAAUCGUUUAUACUACGGCUUGAUUAAAUCAAUACUGAUGGUAGUGUGAAAUUUCAAUUUAUUAUCACCAGCGAAUUCAUUUAUUAACUCAUAUUUCUCUCGAACUUUCCAACUAAGAGGAUGAUUGGAUCUGGGAACUCAGCUUAUUGACAAUUUUUUGACUAUUUACAGGUUUCAGAAAAAAAAAAGAUUGAUUAUUGUACUCUAAAGAAGACCAGCAGCAUUCAUUUAGUUUCAAUAAUACAAAUAUAUCAUACUUUUACUAAAAAUUGUGAAAUUUGAGAUGUUUUUGAACCGUUAUCAUUGUGAUGAGAGUCAUAAAAAAGUUAUUACACCCUGAAGUUUCCGUUUUCCUAUUGAUUCUAAUUGGCUUGGAAUUUAGAAAUUGUAUUUAAAUGAAAAUAUUGUAAAUAAUUAUUUGUAUAAUUGUUAUUAUACUCCUAUUUGUUAAGUGUUAUAGAGUAGUAGAACUUUGUGAUAUUACUUAGGUAUAGGGAAAAAUUAAGACUAUUCAAUUGUUUGGUCAAUAUAAAAAUUAUUAUAUAUAACAUAUCCUUUCAAAUUUGUCAAUAAAAAUAUAUGAUUAAACA